rnacentral:lncRNA from 13 species
AUGGAAUUUGGGGUCCUCUGUGCCAAGAAUAUGAGUCAGAAGUUUCAUUUGUUGCCAGUGAUGGAUACUUGUUGGCAAACUCAACAGGAAGAGAAUUCCUUGGAAGAAUGUUGGGGAAAUUCACACAAUACAUGGGAAGGCAGUAAAACCUGGAUUACAAGUAGGCAGGAUUCACAGCCGCCAUGGGGAUCAAGAGGUGGAAAUAUUUCAUAUGUCCAUUGACAACAGUGCUGUAAUAAAUGUUUCCCGCUGCUUUUCCCUCUACUCUGA